CUGCCUCGCAAGCACAAGGUCCUGAGUUCGAUCCCCAGUAACAACAAAAAAAAAACCGGUGACAAAGUUUAUUUGAAAAAGUAAAAGUGAAGAGUGAGGGAGAAACUGGCUCUGCAGAAUAAGCUUGGACUGAGUAAAAGGAAAAAGUGAGAUUAAAUUCCCCCCUGAGGGAACAGCGGGGCUGCAGUGGGGAAAGCCAUGAUGCCCCAGAACAUUUCACACCAAAGAAAGACGCCCGAGUGGUUGUAACACCCCAGCAUUCUGCUUCUCUCCUAGACGUUUCCAAUGGCCGUUACUUGGCAGGAAAGCCUUUCCAAGAAUGCUACGGAGACCAAGAAUCAUAAAGGCAAGGUGCCAGGGUCCUUCAACAGCAAGAGGGCUGUCAUCCUCUGGAAAAGCUGAAAGUCAGGCACGCCAAGAGAGUGUGAUGUCUUGCAUUGGGAGAAGAAUGGCUCUGGGUCGCCCCAGGUGGAGCAGGUGUGAGGCCCCAAGCAAUCCCGGCAGGCCAGCCAGCCCCAGCCAGGAACCUUGACCUGCACCUAGGACACACGCCACUGCAGACAGACAGACUCUACGUGUGUGGCCACAGGGACACAACAUGCACCCUGAUCAAUUGCUCAUAAAUAAUGUUAUUGCUCAUAAUAAUCAGAAGAAAAAUGGGGAUUUUCCAUUUU
rnacentral:lncRNA from 1 species